GGAGUUUGAUCCUGGCUCAGAUUUUGAACGCUGGCGGCAUGCUUAAGCACAUGCAAGUCUGAACGGUAACAGGCGGGUGCUUGCACCCGCGCUGACGAGUGGCGGACGGGUGAGUAACGCGUAGGAAUCUGCCUGGCAGCGGGGGACAACCCCGGGAAACCGGGGCUAAUACCGCAUAUCCCCCACGGGGGAAAGACCGGGACCUUUUCGGAGGCCGGUCGCUGCCGGAUGAGCCUGCGUUGGAUUAGUUUGUUGGUGGGGUAAAGGCCUACCAAGGCGAUGAUCCAUAGCUGGUCUGAGAGGGUGAUCAGCCACACUGGGACUGAGACACGGCCAGACUCCUACGGGAGGCAGCAGUGGGGAAUAUUGGACAAUGGGCGCAAGCCUGAUCCAGCAAUGCUGCGUGUGUGAAGAAGGCCUUCGGGUUGUAAAGCACUUUCAAUCGGGAAGAAAAGCGCGCGGUUAACAGCGGCGCGUCUUGACCGGUACCGAUACAAGAAGCACCGGCUAACUCCGUGCCAGCAGCCGCGGUAAUACGGAGGGUGCAAGCGUUAAUCGGAAUUUACUGGGCGUAAAGCGCACGCAGGCGGUGGUNUAAGUCAGAUGUGAAAGCCCCGGGCUCAAACCUGGGAACUUGGUUUUGAUACUGGGCCCGGACUACAGAGGAAAAAGGGGAAGAAAGAAGAAAGCGCGGAAAUUCCCCGCAAAUGUACGCGGGGUGGAAACAUGCGUU
rnacentral:rRNA from 1 species